AACGUAGGUAACCUGCCCAUGUGUCCGGGAUAACUGCUGGAAACGGUAGCUAAAACCGGAUAGGUAUACAGAGCGCAUGCUCAGUAUAUUAAAGCGCCCAUCAAGGCGUGAACAUGGAUGGACCUGCGGCGCAUUAGCUAGUUGGUGAGUAACGGCCCACCAAGGCGAUGAUGCGUAGCCGGCCUGAGAGGGUAAACGGCCACAUUGGGACUGAGACACGGCCCAA
rnacentral:rRNA from 1 species